rnacentral:rRNA from 1 species
AGCGCAGGCGGUUUUUUAAGUCUGAUGUGAAAGCCCUUGGCUCAACCAAGGAAGUGCAUCGGAAACUGGAGAACUUGAGUGCAGAAGAGGACAGUGGAACUCCAUGUGUAGCGGUGAAAUGCGUAGAUAUAUGGAAGAACACCAGUGGCGAAGGCGGCUGCCUGGUCUGUAACUGACGCUGAGGCUCGAAAGCAUGGGUAGCGAACA